rnacentral:rRNA from 1 species
AGAGUUUGAUCCUGGCUCAGAACGAACGCUGGCGGCAUGCCUAAUACAUGCAAGUCGAACGCGAAAAGGGGGCAACCCCCCAGUAGAGUGGCGCACGGGUGAGUAACGCGUGGGUAAUCUCCCUUUGAGACCGGAAUAACCCGCCGAAAGGCGGGCUAAUACCGGAUAAGACCACGGGGCUUAAGUCCUGAGGUUAAAGGCGGGUGGCAACACCUGUCGCUCUUUGAUGAGCCCGCGUCCCAUCAGCUAGUUGGUGAGGUAAGAGCUUACCAAGGCUAAGACGGGUAGCUGGUCUGAGAGGACGAUCAGCCACACUGGCACUGAAACACGGGCCAGGCUCCUACGGGAGGCAGCAGUGGGGAAUUUUGCGCAAUGGGCGAAAGCCUGACGCAGCGACGCCGCGUGAGGGAAGAAGGUUUUCGGAUCGUAAACCUCUGUCGGAGGGGAAGAAACCCCAGGGUGCUAAUACCAUCCUGGAUUGACGGUACCCUCUGAGGAAGCAUCGGCUAACUACGUGCCAGCAGCCGCGGUAAUACGUAGGAUGCAAGCGUUGUUCGGAAUUAUUGGGUGUAAAGGGCGCGUAGGCGGCUUGGCCAGUCACGGGUGAAAGCCCCCGGCUUAACCGGGGAAUUGCCCGUGAUACUACCAAGCUCGAGUACGGGAGAGGGGAGUGGAAUUCCUGGUGUAGCGGUGAAAUGCGUAGAUAUCAGGAGGAACACCGGUGGCGAAGGCGGCUUCCUGGACCGAUACUGACGCUGAGGCGCGAAAGCGUGGGUAGCAAACAGGAUUAGAUACCCUGGUAGUCC